CAAUGAUUGGGAGGACCACUUGG
rnacentral:piRNA from 1 species